rnacentral:rRNA from 1 species
AACCGCGGAAGAGCAUUUGAAACUGGCAGGAUAGAAUACGGUAGAGGGUUGUAGAAUACCAGGUGUAGAGGUGAAAUUCGUAGAGAUCUGGUAGAAUACCGGUGGCGAAGGCGGCAACCUGGACCGAUAUUGACGCUGAGAUGCGAAAGCGUGGGGAGCGAACAGGAUUAGAUACCCUGGUAGUCCACGCCGUAAACGAUGAAUACUGGAUGCAGCGGGUAUCGACCCCUGCUGUGCCGUAGCUAACGCGUUAAGUAUUCCGCCUGGGGAGUACGGCCUCACGGCUAAAACUCAAAGGAAUUGACGGGGGCCCGCACAAGCGGUGGAGCAUGUGGUUUAAUUCGAUGCAACGCGCAGAACCUCACCUGGGUUUGAAAUCCUCUGACAAGCCUUAGUCGGUAUUUCUCUUCGGAGACAGAGUGACAGGUGCUGCAUGGCUGUCGUCAGCCCGUGUCGUGAGAUGUUGGGUUAAGUCCCGUAACGAGCGCAACCCUUGUUGUUAGUUGCCAUCAUUAAGUUGGGCACUCUAGCGAGACUGCCGGUGUCAAACCGGAGGAAGGUGGGGAUGACGUCAAGUCCUCAUGGCCCUUAUGCCCAGGGCUACACACGUGCUACAAUGGCCGGUACAAAGAGCAGCCAACUUGCGAAAGUGAGCUAAUCUCAAAAAGCCGGUCUCAGUACGGAUUGGAGUCUGCAACUCGACUCCAUGAAGGCGGAAUCGCUAGUAAUCGCGGAUCAGCAUGCCGCGGUGAUACGUUCCCGGGCAUUGUACACACCGCCCGUCACACCAUGGGAGUUGACUACUCCAGAAGUCGUUGUGCUGAACUCUCGAGGAGGCAGGCGCCCAAGGAGUGGUUGUAACUGGGGUGAAGUCGNA